rnacentral:tRNA from 1 species
GGGCGAUUAGCUCAGCGGGAGAGCACUACCUUCACACGGUAGGGGUCAGUGGUUCGAAACCACUAUCGCCCACCA